rnacentral:lncRNA from 1 species
CUUUCAGACCAUGAGCUAGCAGGAUGAGGCCUUGCAGUUUGUUCAUGGAUGUCUCUCAGAACAAGACAGGGACAUUUAACCUACAUGAGAGGACCUGGCAGUUUUCUGGAGCACUGGAGGAUUCCACAGGAGCUGCCCCCAGAUGCCUUCUGCAUUGCCUGGACCUGGUGCUUCCAGCUGUCAGCUCUGGAGCUGAUAUAGCAGCCCUGUGUUUGAGCAGCUGCAGCCCCGGGAAAGUUGUCUUACAGAGUGAAAGGACACCCAGGCUUCUGGCAGAACUGCCAGGUGGCCUCACAGGAGCUACUGUGGGAAUGUUUGGUAACAGAAUGAGGACACAAGCAAUAGCAGAAAAGGAAAGAUCACGUCAUCUUUGGCAUUCUUGGUCCUUGCUUCUAUUCCAGGGAGACCAAAGUUUAGGACACAAUCACAGGAUGAGUUCAGAGUGUUCAUUUCAUCAAGCCAUGAUAAUUGACAGGGUUGAUAAACUAAUACCUACGUGGACAUAGGACAUCAGUUCUGGGAACAGCUGUUUGUGACUCCUGUUUUCCUGGAAGGGCUUUCACCAGAUAUGCUGCAUUUCAAGAGUGCCUUCAGGCUCUGACAGAUGUGCCUGGCCGACCUGCGGUGGCGUCCCCCUGGUGCCUGCUGGGGCAGGGGUGGGAAGGAGCUGGCAGAGGGCAAGCAGAGCAGUCUGGCCACGCAUCUCCUGCUGCCGCUCUGGCUUUUCAGGGUGGUAGGAGCAGCUAGUGGAGGGGAAGCCACGAGGCAUAUGACUGCCUCUGGUUGUUUCCCUCUCUUUUUGCUCUCCUCAGUGCCUGGAGUCAGAAACUCAAAUGGGAAUGUUUUUCUGUUUUAAGAAGUACAUGUAUGUUUGUUUUCUGUGCUCUUCUGCUGUCUGCAGCUGGGCUUCUGGCACGUAUGUAAAGAUAGCAUAAAUCUAAGAGCUGAUCACAUGUAAUGAUUAUUAUCCGGUGCCACUUCUGAGGUAUCCUGGAAGCAUAUCCCAUCACACAGUCAUCUUUUUCCUGUGCUUCAGUGUUAUUAGCAGAGAUAGCCCAUGUUAUCUAGGUUACAUGUAUCAAAACAUACCAAGUUAAAACUAGGCUUUUAAACUAGUUUUAGCAGAACCAAUUUUACAUUCCCUGUAACUGGCUUCUUUUAUACCACGUGUCUUACCACAUGUAAGCCAUGUGUCUUACUGACAGUGACACGAUGAAAUGCAUGUAACCUUUUUUUCAACAAUGUCAACAGAUAAAUGAUUAAGGUAAAUACAGCCAAGCUGUUACAUGAAGAUUUUCAUGACAACUGCAUUUCUUGUACUUUGUAUCAAUAAAAACUAGUAUUCAUAACUUAGUCUAUUAAAA